rnacentral:rRNA from 1 species
GACGAACGCUGGCGGCGUGCUUAACACAUGCAAGUCGAACGGAAAGGCCCUGCUUUUGUGGGGUGCUCGAGUGGCGAACGGGUGAGUAACACGUGAGUAACCUGCCCUUGACUUUGGGAUAACUUCAGGAAACUGGGGCUAAUACCGGAUAGGAGCUCCUGCUGCAUGGUGGGGGUUGGAAAGUUUCGGCGGUUGGGGAUGGACUCGCGGCUUAUCAGCUUGUUGGUGGGGUAGUGGCUUACCAAGGCUUUGACGGGUAGCCGGCCUGAGAGGGUGACCGGCCACAUUGGGACUGAGAUACGGCCCAGACGCCUACGGGAGGCAGCAGUGGGGAAUAUUGCACAAUGGGCGGAAGCCUGAUGCAGCAACGCCGCGUGCGGGAUGACGGCCUUCGGGUUGUAAACCGCUGUCGCAUGUGACGAAGCGUGAGUGACGGUAAUGGGUAAAGAAGCACCGGCUAACUACGUG